AUCAUUAAAAACUGACUUGUGCUGUUACACUAAAAAGGCUGUGAAGAAGCCGAGAAAAACUAAAGCUCAUACAAAAGCCCAUUGGUCCACAAAUUAGAAAACCCUGGAGCUAAGACUAAGAAAAUUGAGAAGACCAACUACGAACGCCGCCAUCAUGCAUCUUCAACAACGAAACAAGCAGGACCACAAACUGAAGUAUGAAAAUGGCAUCAUGCCAAAGAGUCAAGUCGUGGUCCAGGAAAAUAGAGAAACCCACAGCUAGACAUUCUCCUCGCCCAUUUCUCGACCUUCCCAGCUGAUGAGGGAUAGAAAAACUGGCAAUUUUUGGUACAUAUUAGAGCUCACGGCGUUGCACACGCCUGAAGGGUCGGCCAUCGGACAAACAGCGGUCGAUUAACGUAGUGGCCCCAGAGAUGCCAGGCACAGGAAUAAGCUAAAAAAACCCUCCAUAGCCCAAUUAAAGAUGAAGCUCUCUCAAAGUAACACUGGACUUGCAACUCAAACCAAUACAAUUAAAAGAAUAUGUACAGCUCAACCCGAAGGUGAGGAGGGCGAAACCCAUAUCUAAGUUAACGAGGAGCCAUCCCUUGCCUGGAAGGGAUAGUGGACGGCUGCAAGUGACGACCAAAGACAAGGGUAAAGGACCCUAAAAAGACUACGAAAAGAGAGAAAUUUCUCUCCAUCUGCUUCUUUCUGGUUGAAGAAAAUAUUGGAAAUGUGGCCGGUACUUGUCACUUAUUUUGUAUUUAUUUAGGACAUUUGUUUAGGAAUUUUUGUGUGCAUAUCUGUUCUUACCUUUUGUUGUAUGAU
rnacentral:misc_RNA from 1 species